GGGGGUUCAAAUUGAUUGACGGACAGGUCCAGCAUACUCCUGAAUACUCUUGGACAGACCAGUGUUCUGUGGCUGCAGUGCAGAGUCUGUUGACGGUGUCCCGCUUAUCGGCGGCGUCAUGCGCGUGUAGGGUCGGACAGCCGAGGUUGUCGUGGCUGGUUCUCUGGCUCAGUAGUCAGGUUUCUUCCCUCCAUGGCUGCAUAGGGCCUGUGUGACUUCCAGUUUUAGUAACUGCAUUUAUAUUACCAUUAGUGUGUGUUGUGUGCUGAACAUAUUUUUGUACCAGAAUAAAAAAUUGUAUUUGUUUCUCUGUACGC
ensembl:lncRNA